CGUGGCGUGCGAGCUCUGGUCGUGCAUGUUGAGCAGGUCGCGGUAGCCCUGCAGCGCGCGCUCGAGCUGCUCCACGCGCGCGGACAGCAGCGCCGCGCUGCCCGAGCCCGCCUCGCCCGUCAGCCUGUUGUCUACAGAACAUGUCCCUCACCCGUGGCGUGCGAGCUCUGGUCGUGCAUGUUGAGCAGGUCGCGGUAGCCCUGCAGCGCGCGCUCGAGCUGCUCCACGCGCGCGGACAGCAGCGCCGCGCUGCCCGAGCCCGCCUCGCCCGUCAGCCUGUUGUCUACAGAACAUGUCCCUCACCCGUGGCGUGCGAGCUCUGGUCGUGCAUGUUGAGCAGGUCGCGGUAGCCCUGCAGCGCGCGCUCGAGCUGCUCCACGCGCGCGGACAGCAGCGCCGCGCUGCCCGAGCCCGCCUCGCCCGUCAGCCUGUUGUCUACAGAACAUGUCCCUCACCCGUGGCGUGCGAGCUCUGGUCGUGCAUGUUGAGCAGGUCGCGGUAGCCCUGCAGCGCGCGCUCGAGCUGCUCCACGCGCGCGGACAGCAGCGCCGCGCUGCCCGAGCCCGCCUCGCCCGUCAGCCUGUUGUCUACAGAACAUGUCCCUCACCCGUGGCGUGCGAGCUCUGGUCGUGCAUGUUGAGCAGGUCGCGGUAGCCCUGCAGCGCGCGCUCGAGCUGCUCCACGCGCGCGGACAGCAGCGCCGCGCUGCCCGAGCCCGCCUCGCCCGUCAGCCUGUUGUCUACAGAACAUGUCCCUCACCCGUGGCGUGCGAGCUCUGGUCGUGCAUGUUGAGCAGGUCGCGGUAGCCCUGCAGCGCGCGCUCGAGCUGCUCCACGCGCGCGGACAGCAGCGCCGCGCUGCCCGAGCCCGCCUCGCCCGUCAGCCUGUUGUCUACAGAACAUGUCCCUCACCCGUGGCGUGCGAGCUCUGGUCGUGCAUGUUGAGCAGGUCGCGGUAGCCCUGCAGCGCGCGCUCGAGCUGCUCCACGCGCGCGGACAGCAGCGCCGCGCUGCCCGAGCCCGCCUCGCCCGUCAGCGUCACCGUCAGCUCCUUCUCAUAGCAGUCGAGCUGUUGUCUA